GAUGAACGCUGGCGGCGUGCUUAACACAUGCAAGUCGAACGGAAAGGCCCAAGCUUGCUUGGCUCCUCGAGUUGCGGACGGGUGAGUAACACGUGGGUUCUCUGCCCCGCACUUCGGGAUAAGCCUGGGAAACUUGGUCUAAUACCGGAUAAGACCACUUCUUUGAGGUUGUGGUGGAAAGUGUUUACGGUGUUGGAUGGGCUCGCGGCCUAUCAGAUUGUUGGUGGGGUAUGGGCCUACCAAGGCGUCGACGGGUAUCCGGCCUGGGAGGGUGUACGGCCCCAUUGGGACUGAGAUACGGCCCAGACUCCACCGGGAGGCAGCAGUGGGGAAUAUUGCACAAUGGGAGCAAGCACGAUGCAGCGAAGCAGCGUGGGGGAUGACGGCAUUCGCGUUGUAAACUAAUUUCGCUAGAGACGAAGCGCAAGUGACGGUACCUAGAGAAGAAGCACCGGCUAACUACGUG
rnacentral:rRNA from 1 species